rnacentral:rRNA from 1 species
UACAGAGGUCUCAAGCGUUGUUCGGAUUCAUUGGGCGUAAAGGGUGCGUAGGUGGCGGGGGUAAGUCAGGUGUGAAAUCUCGGGGCUCAACCCCGAAACUGCACUUGAUACUGCCUUGCUCGAGUACUGGAGAGGAGAUUGGAAUUUACGGUGUAGCAGUGAAAUGCGUAGAUAUCGUAAGGAAGACCAGUGGCGAAGGCGAAUCUCUGGACAGUUACUGACACUGAGGCACGAAGGCCAGGGGAGCAA